rnacentral:rRNA from 1 species
UACGGAGGGAGCUAGCGUUGUUCGGAAAUACUGGGCGUAAAGCGCACGUAGGCGGCGCAGCAAGUCAGGGGUGAAAUCCCGGGGCUCAACCCCGGAACUGCCCUUGAAACUGCAGUGCUAGAAUACUGGAGAGGCAAGUGGAAUUCCGAGUGUAGAGGUGAAAUUCGUAGAUAUUCGGAAGAACACCAGUGGCGAAGGCGACUUGCUGGACAGUGAUUGACGCUGAGGUGCGAAAGCGUGGGGAGCAAACAGG